CCCUACGGGGCGCAGCAGGCGCGAAAACUUCGCAAUGCGGGAAACCGUGACGAGGGGAUCCCAAGUGCCCAUACAAUGUAUGGGCUUUUCUGGUGUGUAAAUAGCAUUAGGAAUAAGGGCUGGGUAAGACCGGUGCCAGCCGCCGCGGUAAUACCGGCAGCUCAAGUGGUAGCCACUAUUAUUGGGCCUAAAGCGUUCGUAGCCGGUCAGGUAAAUCCUUGGGUAAAUCGUACAGCUUAACUGUGCGGCUUCCGAGGAGACUGCUUGACUUGGGACCGGGAGAGGUUGGAGGUACUCCUGGGGUAGGGGUGAAAUCCUGUAAUCCUAGGUGGACCACCGGUGGCGAGGGCGUCCAACCAGAACGGCUCCGACGGUGAGGAACGAAGGCUAGGGGCGCAAACCGGAUUAGAUACCCGGGUAGUCCUAGCUGUAAACGCUGCAGACUUGGUGUUGGAGGUCCUACGAGGGUGUCCAGUGCCGAAGAGAAGUUGUUAAGUUUGCCGCCUGGGAAGUAUGGCCGCAAGGCUGAAACUUAAAGGAAUUGGCGGGGGAGCAC
rnacentral:rRNA from 1 species